GCCGCGUUAGUACAUUAAGUACAUUUGUCUUCCAAAUAAAAAGUGGGGUGGCC
rnacentral:tRNA from 1 species